GACGAACGCUGGCGGCGUGCCUAACACAUGCAAGUCGAACGGACAGGCCCUGCUUUUGUGGGGUGCUCGAGUGGCGAACGGGUGAGUAACACGUGAGUAUCCUGCCCUUGUCUUUGGGAUAACUUCAGGAAACUGGGGCUAAUACCGGAUAGGAGCUCCUGCUGCAUGGGGGGGGUUGGUAAGUUUCGGCGUUUGGGGAAGGACUCGCGGCUUAUCAGCUUGUUGGUGGGGUAGUGGCUUUCCAAGGCUUUGACGGGUAGCCAGCCUGAGAGGGUGACCGGCCACAGAGGGACAGAGGUGCGACCCAGACGCCUACGGGAGGCAGCAGUGGAGGAUAUUGCACGAAGGGCGGAGGGCUGAAGGAGCAACGCCGCGUGCGAGAUGACGGCCUUCGGGUUGUAAAACGCUUUCGCGUGUGACGGAGCGUGAGGGACGGAAAUAGGUAAAGAAGCACCGGCUAACUACGG
rnacentral:rRNA from 1 species